UACGUAGGGCGCGAGCGUUGUCCGGAAUUACUGGGCGUAAAGAGCUCGUAGGUGGUUUGUCGCGUUGUUCGUGAAAACCGGGGGCUUAACCCUCGGCGUGCGGGCGAUACGGGCAGACUUGAGUACUGCAGGGGAGACUGGAAUUCCUGGUGUAGCGGUGGAAUGCGCAGAUAUCAGGAAGAACACCAAUGGCGAAGGCAGCUCUCUGGGACGGUACUGACGCUGAGACGCGAAAGCGUGGGGAGCGAACAGG
rnacentral:rRNA from 1 species